rnacentral:misc_RNA from 1 species
GAGAUAAUUAAAGCUAGAUUUAGAGGCCUUUCUUUCACUUCCUUGGCCUGUUAAUUGUAUUAUCGCAAUAUCUUGCUGGAAAAUCCAACUCAGUUAUUGGAUGGAUGAGCAGAUUGUCUAAAUCUGCAACAAAAGCAUAAUGGAGGGCUCAUGUAAUCAAGCAUUUUAUUCAGAUGAUAGUGAAAGAUGUUUGCAAGAUUAUGACAGGCAAGAAUUUGAAGACAAUGUGCUCUUAAAAAAUAUUGAUUUAUGUUUAGAUGAAGUUGACAAUAUCAUAGAGCAAUGUAAUGAAAAUUUACCUUCAAUAAGUG